AUCCUGGCUCAGGAUGAACGCUGGCGGCGUGCUUAACACAUGCAAGUCGAACGGAGUGCUUAUGACAGAGGAUUCGUCCAAUGGAUUAAGUUACUUAGUGGCGGACGGGUGAGUAACGCGUGAGUAACCUGCCUUGGAGUGGGGAAUAACACAGUGAAAAUUGUGCUAAUACCGCAUAAUGCAGUUGGGUCGCAUGGCUCUGACUGCCAAAGAUUUAUCG
rnacentral:rRNA from 1 species